AGCCAUGCGAGUCUAGGGGUACUUGUACCCCUGGCAUAAUGCUCAGUAACACGUGGUAUAAUCUACCCUUAGGUGGGGCAUAAACCCGGGAAACUGGGGCUAAUUCCCCAUAGAUACAGAAGGCUGGAAUGCCUCUGUAUUUAAAGCUUCGGGGGCCUAAGGAUGACUCUGCCCCCCUAUCAGAUAGUAGUCGGGGUCACCACCUUGACUAACCCAAGGACGGGGUACGGGGGGGUGAAAAGCCCCUUGCCCGGAAGAUGUUUUCUGAAACCACGAAAACCAGGCCCCUACGGGGCGGCAGCCAGGCGCAAAAACUUCGGCAUGGGGGAAAACCUGGGACAAGGGGAACUUCCAAGGGCUUUAUCCAUGGCAAGAACGUGUUUUUCCACCCUAAUAUACCUGUUUAAAUAAAGGGGGGGGUAAAAACCGGUGCCAGCCCGCCCGGGUAACCCCCGGCACCCCAAGUGGUAGCCUCUAUUAUUGGGCCUAAACGUUCGUAGCCCGUUAAUAAAUUCUUGGGUAAUCGUACAGCUUACUGGGCGAUUUCCGGGGAACCUACUGACUUG
rnacentral:rRNA from 1 species